AUUUUUAGAAAUGAUAUAAUUCAUAUGCGAUUUCGGCUCGUAGUUUGGUGGUGUUUCACCCUAAAUUUU
rnacentral:tRNA from 3 species